rnacentral:rRNA from 1 species
AAUUCGAAGCAACGCGAAGAACCUUACCAAGGUUUGACAUCCCCUUGACAGAUGCAGAGAUGUGUCCUCCCGUUCGGGGCGAAGGGAGACAGGUGGUGCAUGGGUUGUCGUCAGCUCGUGUCGUGAGAUGUUGGGUUAAGUCCCGCAACGAGCGCAACCCUUAUCCUUAGUUGCCAGCAGGUCAAGCUGGGCACUCUAAGGAGACUGCCAGUGAUAAACUGGAGGAAGGUGGGGAUGACGUCAAAUCAUCAUGCCCCUUAUAUCUUGGGCUACACACGUGCUACAAUGGUCGGUACAAAGGGGAGCGAAAGAGUGAUCUGGAGCAAAUCUCAAUAAACCGGUCCCAGUUCGGAUUGUAGGCUGCAACUCGCCUACAUGAAGUCGGAGUUGCUAGUAAUCGCGGAUCAGCACGCCGCGGUCGAAUACGUUCCCGGGCCUU